rnacentral:rRNA from 1 species
GAUGAACGCUGGCGGCGUGCCUAAUACUUGCAAGUCGAGCGAACAGACGAGGAGCUUGCUCCUCUGACGUUAGCGGCGGACGGGUGAGUAACACGUGGAUAACCUACCUAUAAGACUGGGAUAACUUCGGGAAACCGGAGCUAAUACCGGAUAAUAUAUUGAACCGCAUAGUUCAAUAGUGAAAGACGGUUUUGCUGUCACUUAUAGAUGGAUCCGCGCCGCAUUAGCUAGUUGGUAAGGUAACGGCUUACCAAGGCAACGAUGCGUAGCCGACCUGAGAGGGUGAUCGGCCACACUGGAACUGAGACACGAUCCAGACUCCUACGGGAGGCAGCAGUAGGGAAUCUUCCGCAAUGGGCGAAAGCCUGACGGAGCAACGCCGCGUGAGUGAUGAAGGUCUUCGGAUCGUAAAACUCUGUUAUUAGGGAAGAACAAAUGUGUAAGUAACUAUGCACGUCUUGACGGUACCUAAUCAGAAAGCCACGGCUAACUACGUG